rnacentral:rRNA from 1 species
GACGAACGCUGGCGGCGUGCUUAACACAUGCGAGUCGAACGGAAAGGCCCUGCUUUUGUGGGGUUCUCGAGUGGCGAACGGGUGAGUAACACGUGAGUAACCUGCACUUGACUUUGGGAUAACAUCAGGAAACUGGGGCGAAUACCCGAUAUGAGCUCCUGCUGCAUGGUGGGGGUUGGUAAGUUCCGGCCGUUGUGGAUGGAAUCGCGGCUUAUCAGCUUGUUGGUGGGGUAGUGGCUGACAAAGGGUUUGAAGGGUAGCCUGCCCGAGAGGGUGAACGGCCACAUUGGGACUGCGAUACGGCCCAGUCUGCUACGGGAGGCAGCGGUGGGAAAUAUUGCACAAUGGGCGGAAGCCUGAUACAGAGACGCCGCGUGCGGGAUGACGGCCUUCGGGUUGUAAACCGCUUUCGCCGGUGACGAAGCGUGAUUGACGGUAAUGGGUCAAGAAGCACCGGCUAACUACGUG